AUGGCAAAAAAUAUUAUGAAAACACAAGCAUGCAUGAUAAACAUAAAGAAUAACAGAAUAACUGCAAACGAAAAUGAUAAGAAACGACUUCAACUACAUACACACAAGGUGCAAGCAAAGUCAACAUGCAAGUUCGGGGCUCAUGAUAAGAGGUUGGCUUGCGUGGGGGUCGAGGAAUACUCCGGAAAAAAGUGUAGAAUGAUCUCUCAGGGGGGCUGUUUACGAGCAAGGGCAAGGAGGUCAUUUUCACUAUGUGAAAACAUAAUGAAAAUGAUACCAACAGAAAGAGCUCGACGAGCAGAGAACGUGAGCGCUGGAAUCACCUCAAUCGGAGUUACGGUUGCAAAGGUACGGCCGAUUGAAUGGUAG
rnacentral:rRNA from 1 species